UUUCAGUGAUGAUAACCUUGACCAGUUCUGCUACUGAGUGCAACUGAUGAGAUUUAUAACUCUGAGGAAG
ensembl:snoRNA small nucleolar RNA SNORD38